AGCUUUUAUCAAAGAUUAGAACAAGGAGCAGACUGACUUCUUUCGCGCCAAAUUGGAGUUGAGAAAUCGGACCAUAAACAAAGUGAAUUACGUCAAACAGUAUCCUUAUAAUAUGUAAUAAUAUUUACGACGUGGUGUCUUGUGCAGCAGUACACGUGAAUUGUUGAUAUAUUCUGCAGAAACAGUCAUUCACCUCCAGAAAUGGCCAAAGAAUAUAUUACAGGCAAAAGCUGGGUUGAGUUAAUGGAGGAAGAGGAAGAAACCUCAGGAGAAGAACUACAAUCUCGGGAUAAAGAAUUAUCCGAGGAAGAGAGGCUUCUAGCUGAGGACGACUUGGAUACCAUGGGAGAAAGGCUAGAAGCUAAAAAAGAAAAUUUUGAUGCUGAUGAGGUGACUAAGAAAAGUGAAGAACAAAAGCUACAUGAAGAAAGCUGUUUGGAUGUACAAGAGCAUUCCAGAACUGAAUUGAAGGGAAAACUUGAAGUUUCUGAUAUUAAAGUGAAAACAGAAAUGGAAGCUUCUUCAACCCAUGAGUUGUCUACAAAAGCUAUUUUGCCAAAUGAUAAAAUCAAGACUGAGCCAGGCACUCACACUAGAUGCAAUGGGGAUGCUUUAGUUGCUGGUAUCAAGCAAGAGACAAAUGUGUGUACUAUAAAGAUAAAAAGUGAAGUUGAGGAAAUUGAUGAUGAUAAUGAUCGAAUUUCAAAAGAACUGGAUCUCAUGGAAAAUGAGCUGUUUAAUGUACAAGAGGAAAACAGUGAUUCCGUAAAAGACAGGGUUAGUGAUUUUGUAAAAGUUGGCAUUAGUGAUUCUGUAAAAGAUAAUGUUGUUAUGAAAUGUAAAGACAGUCUCAUUGUAGAGAGCAGUGCAAAUAGUGUAGCUAAGGAAACUGAAACACACACAUUUGUACACCCAGAAACAAUGGUUAAUGGUGAUCAUAAAGCUUCUGAUAAGAUGGAUGAUACGAGACAUGUUUCAACUAGCACACAGACUUCACCAAGGAAAAAUAGAAAUACUCGUAAAAGGAAAAGUUCGUCCAAUGUAGGAAACAACAGGAGGAAAUAUUCUUGCAGGGAUCCAUCUGCAAGCAGUAGUAGCAGUGGUCGCAGCAGCAAUGCUACGACACCUCGUAAAGAGAAGAAGCCAGUUGAGUACGAAAAUGACCCUGAAAUUCUAGCUAGGAGGCAGAAACAAAUUGAUUAUGGGAAGAAUACAAUAGGCUAUGAUCGCUACAGGCAGCUAGUACCGAAGGAGAAGCGUACCAACAGGGAUCCACGGACUCCACCUAAGCACGUAAAAUAUAGCCGACGUGCCUGGGACGGCAUGGUGAGAAUCUGGAGACAACAGUUACAUGCUUGGGACCCUACUCCUGAUGACAAAGAGUCCACAACGCUGCCCGAAUUGAAUGUGUCCGUGGAUGUGAGUUCUAUGCCAUACAAGAGGAGAAUACAUUCUUGUACUGCAUCCUCUGCCUCUGGAAGCACAGAAGAUGUUGGAGCUGAUGAUUUUAUCUCACUUGACUAUGAGGAUGGUGAUUUAGAAUGAUUAUGUCAAUUGUGUUUGUACUGUGUAGUGAAGACACAACUCUCAGUUCAAGCCUGAUGCUGUUUUUUUAUUGCUGGAAUGAACUCUGCGUACUGCAGAGAUAUUUUUGUGCAUCAGUUAUUUUGUCUGGACUUGCAUGUAUUAUAAAUUUUAGUAGCUUAUUUUUGUACAAUAGCUAGGUAAUAUACAGCUGUAAGCCAGAUGAAGGCAAGUUGCAAUGUAUUGGACUGUAAAUAGCUCUUUUGUUUGUGUGACUUUAAUGUAACCUGGAGUUUUAACGUAUCUCCAUGACUGAGAUGAAAAAUAUAAUAUGCAUAGGGAGUUGCUUGUAAAGCCAGGCUGUGCCAUGGUCUUAUGUAUACUCCUCUCCAUUGAGAAACUGACAUUACCAAUUUGUGUAGAAAAAUACUGACACAUGUUUUAGUUGUUAAUUUCAAAAGAUCACAAAUGCCAUAUCUUCAGAUUUGUGCACCUUAAGACAUAGGCGCUAAAAUGACAAAGUAAAAUAUUUCUUGUUUUUUUUAUUUACUAUUUUUUUCAUAAUUCUUGGAGCAUAUCUGAUCUGUUUUUAUUUAAGAUGGAUGAAAAUGAUUCAUUGGCUCUGUUUGUUAUAAAAUUUGUACAUGUUGAUGUAAGUAGAUUUUUCUUUUAUAAUUUAGGAAUUAUUUUGUAAUACAAUUGCAUCAGAAAAAACUUUAUAUAGGGAUCUAUUUAUUCAUAUAUUCGAUUAUCGUAGUAAAAAGAUAUCAGCUUCUUGAACCAGUCAUACAUGACAGUGCCUUGAUAUUUUGUUGAUUAAAUUAUUUAAGUGUAUGAGUAUUAAAACUGUUAACAAAAGACCAAUUUAUAGAGACUACAUAUUUUACAAAUGUGUGCAAUAGCCUACAGUUAGAAAUAUCAAGCUGCUGGUUGAAAUUUCUGAAAGUGAUAGAAGAUAUAACUACAGAAAGUGUUGACGUAAAUGUGUAAAUAUGAACUUGUGUGUCUUGCACUUUCUGUACGCAUUAAUAGUGCAAGUUGCAGAAUUAUAAAUGUCAUGUUGUACAACAGUUCAAGAAUUGUAAUCGUUGGACAUGGGAGUCAGUUCUAAUGAGAGUUGUACAGGACUGUCCAUCAAAGGUAACAGUGCUGACACUAUAAUGAAUGUUGUGUGAAAACAGUCAUGGGCUUGAGAGCAAACUACAACCUACAGCUGUUGACCAUAUGAAAACUCGAAGAAGAUUCUUGACGAGUUGACUGAUGGUAAUAGUUGAAUCAGUAAAAAUUGACUGACAUAAGUUGGUAAUCAGUACCAGCACACUCUGCUUGAUGCCAAACUGAAUCAACAGACAAACUGUUUUUAGUGGCUUUGCAUUUGUGAAAACAGAAGUGACAUGUUAAAUAAAUGACUGCUGAAUGUUUUUGUAAUUUA